AGAAGGCUCCCUUAGCCCAGGUCUAGGAUCUUGGAGCCUGUCUGUGAGGUUAAGCACCGAGGGCCCAGAAGUGGGGAUGGCUCUUGCAGAAAAAGAGAGAUCUCGGCUGUGAUAAAAAGGGGAAGAGAUGAUCAAACGCAUAAUUACAACUCAUGAUGUCUCCUGAGCCAGAGGUCCCAGCAUGCUUUGCAGCUAGACUCGGCCAAGUUAUGACACAUUCACACUUCCCUGAAAAAGAAAAAAGGGCAGCAAUAUAGCUUCUGGAGACGAUAUCUAUCCUGUACCCUUGAGGAAGCUCACUACGUUUUGGAAGACAGUAUUCCUGGGAAGACUAUGAGAAUAUCUGAAGUCAGGACUACAUUCUGAUUUGGACUCCUAGUGUUUUCAGAAAUCUUAAAGAACAUCUCUGAGCGCUAAACUGUACAAAGUUGCUGGCAGAGGACACUCUGGCCUUCUGGAACAUAGACAAGAGCUCACUGUUUUGAAUGGAAAUAUAUCUCGCUUUCAGUAUGCUUUCCCCAAAAACUUUCAGAGAUGAGAACUGAACCUAUAUAUCAAAUUUUGUUGUUUGGUUUUUUUGUGUAGAUAAUAAAUGUUUAAUUAACUA
rnacentral:lncRNA from 1 species